rnacentral:lncRNA from 1 species
UUGAAUUUGUUGUUUAGCGCGUAUGCAUUGCUUAUACUCACGCUGAUCCUCCAAUGACGACAGUGUAAGGUAAAGCCUAAUGAAUUAGCAUCUUCAUAACAAGAAUCUGUAUUUCUUCCUCUAUAAUGGCGCAGCAUUCAUUCGCAGGCAAGCAGGGGAAAGCAGGAAAAGGGGGACUAGACGGCACCGGCAGUAAGUGGCCAUCAUGCAGGUGCAUACACUGACAUUAUGCCUUGUCAUUUUACAUUAACAGGACACGAGCAGGAGAAUCGCAAGGAAUAGGACAAGCGCAAGGAUGGUGGUAAGGAUAUGAACAAGAGUCGGGCUCAAACGGGACGUGGCAUGCCACGUAGCGGCCGUUCGGAGGUAUGAAGCCUCUGGUUGCAAGACCAUGGCUAUUAACUAAAUGCUUUUUAUUGCCUUAUUUCGAGGCACGU